rnacentral:rRNA from 1 species
UUGAAAGGGAAACGAUUGAAGUCAGUCGUACCAGCGGGAAAUCAACCUUUCGAGUGGGGGUUUUGGAGUUUNGAAGAGUGUCAAAACCUUUGAGAUUUCAAAAUAUUCGCUCUUUUGGUGUACUUUCUCGUGGGUAGGUUAACAUCGAUUUUGAUCAUCAUAAAAAGACUGGAGGAAUGUAGCUUCGAUCUUGUAUUGAAGUGUUAUAGCCUUUGGUAGAUGUGAUGUUUGAGACCGAGGAUUGCAACGGAUACCCUUCAGGGCUAUUCGUCUGAUCUCUGAUACGUUGCCUUGAUGUUGAAAGCUCGCUUAUGAUGUUAGGGUAUUACGGUCAAAAGGUUAGAACGAAUUACAUUCGUUAAGGAUGUUGACGUA